UUAAUUAAAGCUUUAAGAAGCGCGAAACUUUUAAUUUCGAGAUCCUUUUUUAGGUAAUUGAG
rnacentral:tRNA from 1 species